rnacentral:rRNA from 1 species
GACGAACGCUGGCGGCGUGCUUAACACAUGCAAGUCGAACGGAAAGGCCCUGCUUGCUGGUUCCUCGAGUGGCGAACGGGUGAGUAACACGUGGGUGAUCUGCCCUGCACUUCGGGAUAAGCCUGGGAAACUGGUUCUAAUCCCGGAUAGGAGCCAUUUUUAGCGUGAUGGUUGGAAAGUUUUUUCGGUGUAGGAUGAGCUCGCGGCCUAUCAGCUUGUUGGUGGGGUAAUGGCCUACCAAGGCGGCGCCGGGUAGCCGGCCUGAGAGGGUGGACGGCCACAUUGGGACUGAGAUACGGCACAGACUCCUACGGGAGGCAGCAGUGGGGAAGAUUGCACAAUGGGCGCAAGCCUGAUGCAGCGACGCCGCGUGGGGGAUGACGGCCUUCGGGUUGUAAACUCCUUUCGCUAGGGACGAAGCUUUUUGUGACGGUACCUAGAUAAGAAGCACCGGCUAACUACGUG